ensembl:lncRNA
AUGUCACGUCUGUGGGUUGCCUGGAGCCGGGGUGCCUGGGAGCACCUGGACUGCAUGGCUUUUGGGCUCCCCUGGUUAAAACCAGUGAGCAAAGGCAGGUGGCUAUGUGUAGGCACAGAGCUGGGCCAUCCAAGUCCGACUUUGCCAAAGCCUCACAGUAGACAGGGCAGGGCCUUAUUAGUUCUGCUUUGCAGAUGGGAAAGUGAGUCUGGGAACCUGGAAGGGACUGGCCAGAGCUGCCCAGGUGACCACAGGUGCCUGGAGGCAAGCCAGGUGUGCUGCCUGGGGUCUGCAUACCUGCUCCUGAGGGGCCUGUGCCCUCCCUGCCCCAGGGAGCCACAUCCUCACACCUGCCCCUUUGGCCUGCACCCCAGGGGACCGGCUGAGCGAGCAGCGUGGCCUACCGGCUGGCUGCCCUGCACCAUCAGCUGGGCCAGGGCAAGCUGGCAGAGCACUUCUACCUCAAGGCCCUGUAGCUCUGCAACUCGCCACUGGAGUUCGACAGGAACGGCCUCUGGGAAGAUGGGCUCCGAGUCCCCCUUUUGCUGAGCAUGACCUGUCCCCUUCAGGACCCGUUUGAGUACUACCAGCUGGCACUGGCAGCCGCCGUGGACCUGGGCAACAAGAAGGCACAGCUGAAGAUCUACACGCAGCCGGCCACCAUCUCCCACAACUUCCUCCUGGACCGUGAGAAGUCGCUCCUCUUCUACCAGAAGGCCAGGACCUUCGCCACAGAGCUCAACGUCCACAGGGUCAACCUGCCUCCUCUGCCACUCUUGGGGUGGGCCCCUGGUUGGCCCCAGCCACCCUCGCUGAGGACAGCAUCCGAGGGAGUGGGUUUUGUGCAAGGAGGAUGGUCUCCUCCCUCUCCUGGUGUCUCCCGUGGGCAUUUUCUGGGAAAUGGGGCAUGAAAGCAGGGUUCAAAUAGCAAUAAAUUUUUCUUUGCAAUAACAUACCGAAGUCCCCAGGGCAUCCUUCCCUGUGUGCUUCCUGGGCUGUGUCUAGGGGCCAGCUCCUUCCCUGGUGGCAGCUCUCUGAUCUUGGGGAUGAGAAGGACCGUGAGUCCAACAGACCUGGGCCAGGUCACCAUAAGCCUCGGUUUUCUCGGUGGCCAGAGGGGAGAUGGUGGUGGAACUCUCUAGGCAGCUCCCUGCUCUCCCUGCUCAGAGCUUUUGCUGUAGGUCUCGUGCCGCCCUUGACGUUAACCUUCAGGCCACUGUGCCCGGAUGUGGGGGCUGCUAGUGUCCCUGUUUGCCAUUGAAGAAAUAGAGGCACAGAGAGGUUAGGUGUCUGGCCCACCGUCACACAGCAGGUAGGGGCAGAGAUGCAGAGCCCAGUACACUGACCACCACACCACCCUGCCAGCCUGCAGCCAGGAAGGUGUCCCCCAUUAGGACCCAAGGUCAGCUCCUGGACCUCUCUUGGUGUGUGGAGAGCCACAGGCCAGUGAGGGUGGCCCAGGGAUCCCUCACUCAGUGUCCUCUGCUCCCAGACUUGGUUGGGCUGAGCCUGGCCAGUCCCACCUCUGGCCACUGGUCAGCCCUGCGGGAAGUGAGAUGCAGGGAUCUCUGCCUGUGUAGAUGCUGCUACCC